ACCAACGCGCGCUGUCAACACUGUCAACACACUGUCAAGCCCUGCCAGCUUAUCGAAAUUGCAUUGCCACAUGGAGAAAACGAAGCUUGGCUUUCACUACUGCGAGUGAUCGAUUAUUUGAACUAUCGAUUAGUCUCGAAUGCGGCUCAAUGGCGUAACGCAGUUAACAACAGCUGUUAAUUGGCGUAGUGCAGUCAUAACAUAACACCUGACGCACUUUUCAAGAGAAGCGACAGCAGCACGAUGCGAGAUGGAGCCGUUGGAUGGGGCCUACAUAGAAGGCCGUCGAGGAAAAGAGAUGAAGAGGGGGGAAAAGGUCGCGAUACAAGCGAUUGCAUCGAAUGGGGCUUAACUGAAGCUCACGGCCUUACUCUUCAAGUUCACCGGCAUGGGUUAAUUGAAUACUAUUGAAAUGUAUUUAGAUAUAUGUAUAUAUAUUAUAUUAUUUUUUAUUAUUUAAUAUUAAAAUAUACAAAUAAAUUUAAUAUAAAAUAAAGGCACAAAAACAUUCAAACCGAACAAAGGGUUAAAAAAAAAA